AACAAAACUUUGAAGAAGAAAAUGGAAGAUCCUGCUGCUCUUAUGCGACAAAGAAUAUGGGAAUUAAUACAUUGCUUCACUGAUGCUUCACCAUGGGCAUAUGCAUUAAGUUUUGCUACACUCUUUACAGUUCCCUUGAUGCACUGUGUUGAUAUACAGUGUAUGGAACGCUGUUUGCCAGUGAGUGUUUGUAACCUAUGGUAUACAAAAGUUGUGGUCAUUAUCUCAUUAAUUAUUAC